CGAGAGGUCCUGCGCCGAAAAUGUCCGGGGCUGAAACACACUGCCGAAGCUCAGGAAUCUGCGAAUGCAGGUUGGUAGAGGAGCAUUCUUAAAGAGACGAAGCUGUACCGAAAGGAGCAGUGGAUUUUUAAGAAGAGAGAAUGCCGGAAUGAGUAGCGAGAAAGAGGUGAGAAUCCUCUUGGCCGAAUAUCUAAGGUUUCCAGGGUAAAGCUGAUCUGCCCUGGGUAAGUCGGGGCCUAAGGCGAGGUCGAAAGACGUAGUCGAUGGAUAACAGGUUGAAAUUCCUGUACUAUCCUGUAACAGAACUGUGGGGACGCAGACAGAGAGCACAAGCCGGGAAUGGAAAGACCGGUGCAAGCGAGGUAGGAGUACAUCAGGCAAAUCCGGUGUGCAAUCCGAAGACGUGAUGCGGAUCGAAAAGAAGUAGAGAAGUGUGUGAGCUGGCUGCCAAGAAAAGCCGCUAUUGUUUACAGGAUACCCGUACCGUAAACCGACACAGGUGGAUGAGGAGAGAAUCCUAAGGCCGACGGGAGAAGCAUUGUUAAGGAACUCGGCAAAAUGACUCCGUAACUUCGGGAGAAGGAGUGCCAUGCGAAUGGCCGCAGAGAAUUGGCCCAAGCAACUGUUUAGCAAAAACACAGGUCUAUGCGAAACCGAAAGGUGAGGUAUAUGGGCUGACGCCUGCCCGGUGCUGGAAGGUUAAGGGGAGAGGUUAGCGCAAGCGAAGCUUUGAACUUAAGCCCCAGUAAACGGCGGCCGUAACUAUAACGGUCCUAAGGUAGCGAAAUUCCUUGUCGGGUAAGUUCCGACCCGCACGAAAGGCGUAAUGAUUUGGGCACUGUCUCAACAAUGCACCCGGUGAAAUUGAAAUACCAGUGAAGAUGCUGGUUACCUGCGCCAGGACGGAAAGACCCCAUGGAGCUUUACUCUAGCUUGAUACUGGGAUUCGAUAUUGCAUGUACAGGAUAGGUGGGAGACUAGGAAGUGGUGACGCCAGUUGCCAUGGAGUCAAUGUUGGGAUACCACCCUUGCAGUAUUGGGUUUCUAACCAGCAGCCGUGAUCCGGCUGGGGGACAAUGUCAGGUGGGGAGUUUGACUGGGGCGGUCGCCUCCGAAAGGGUAUCGGAGGCGCUCAAAGGUUCCCUCAGGAUGGUUGGAAACCAUCCAGAGAGUGCAAAGGCAUAAGGGAGCUUGACUGCGAGACCGACGGGUCGGGCAGGUACGAAAGUAGGACUUAGUGAUCCGGUGGUAUGAAAGUGGGAUUGCCAUCGCUCAACGGAUAAAAGCUACCCUGGGGAUAACAGGCUUAUCACUCCCAAGAGUUCACAUCGACGGAGUGGUUUGGCACCUCGAUGUCGGCUCAUCGCAUCCUGGGGCUGUAGUCGGUCCCAAGGGUUGGGCUGUUCGCCCAUUAAAGCGGUACGCGAGCUGGGUUCAGAACGUCGUGAGACAGUUCGGUCCCUAUCCGGCGUGGGCGUAGGAUAUUUGAGAGGAGCUGCCCUUAGUACGAGAGGACCGGGGUGGACUGGCCGCUGGUGUAUCUGUUGUAUUACCAAGUGCAUAGCAGAGUAGCCAAGCCGGGAAGGGAUAAACGCUGAAGGCAUCUAAGCGUGAAGCCCCCCUCAAGAUGAGAUAUCCCAUAACGUCAAGUUAGUAAGACCCCUUGAAGACGACGAGGUAGAUAGGGCAGAGGUGGAAGUGUGGCAACACAUGGAGCUGACUGUUACUAAUAGGUCGAGGGCAUAACCAA
rnacentral:rRNA from 1 species